GAUAUACUCACUCCGUUCCAUAAUUCUUGUCUCAAAUUUGACCAAAAAUGGAUGUAUCUAUUCUUAAAAGGUGUCUAGAUACAUGUAAUAUUUCGACAAGAAUUAUGGAAUCGGAGGGAGUACUUG
rfam:Brachypodium distachyon strain Bd21 chromosome 1, whole genome shotgun sequence.